GGGGCACAAUCUCUCUCUCUCUCUCUCUCUCUCUCUCUCAUCUUCUUCCCAGCUUCUCUUCCUCUCCUUUCACGACUGGGCAGCGCCGCGGGGUCUAAGGCUCUCCACUGUUCAUCUUCUCUCACCCUCGGUCCAUCAAUCCUUUCUCGAACUCUCCACCUCCCCAUGACACUCUCCAGGUCUGGAUUUACUCUCGCGGGCAUCACACGAUCCAGACUCUCACUCUCCUACUCCAGUUUCCUCACAGACCAGCUCUGUCUCCAUUGCCGCAACAGUUCCACUCAAUCGCAGCCAUCUCUCACAACUCCGGCCAUCCUUUUUGCUCCGGUCAUCCAUUCACGGCUGAAGAAGACAGCCCCCAGCACCUUUCAUGCACACCGCUCCCUCUCAUAAUACUCGCACCAACCCCAUUUGCUGCAGCAGAGACUCCCAGUUGCCGUCGCCGUUGUCAUCACCGAUUCGCCGCCCAUCAACUCCGGCAGCAUCUCUAGCCGUGCCCAGCUCCGGCCAUCUGCUCCCUGCACAGUUGUGAAAGAGUAUCCGACUCUAUAUUCGAUGGUGUGGAAUACCACUUGCCAGUGGUAAGAGUGUUUUGCUCUAUAUCCGAGGGCAUGAAAUAUCGCCUCUUACUGGUUGAUCACCGAAGGGUGUGGAUCCACCAGAUGUACCGGUACGAUGCCAUGGGAGCCUGGGGCUAUGCCAUAUGCCGGGGAUGCAGUGUAAUACGGGCCGGCUUCAUGCCGAAGGAUGUGACGACACCGGGUUACUUGAUCAUGUGUGUGUUGGGAACUAUUUUGCGAAAAUACUGAAAUUGAACUAUGUAUAUUUUUAUAUGUCAUGAUAACAGUCAUAUGCCACACACCGAUAUAACCUAAUUCUUCCUUACUAAGAGGUGUGUCACCCCUAUCGUACGUACAUGUUUUCAGGUCCUUCAAUUAACUGGAACUAGCAUCCUCGUGUUGGGAGCGUGGUGGUUGAUUUACUGCGUAGGGUACUAGUGUAAGUACUUAGACUGUAACAGGGUUGUCAUUUUGGGUAUUUGCUGGCACCCUGGGUUAUGUUUUGUAUUAUGGAGCUUAGAAUCUAUCUGUAUAGACUCUGGUAUGGUACUAUGUAUAUAUGAAAUGAACUUUUCU